GCCCAGGUGGCGGAAUUGGUAUACGCGCAGGACUAAGGAUCCUGUGGGGAAACUCUUGCGGGUUCGAGUCCCGCCCUGGGCACCA
rnacentral:tRNA from 6 species